rnacentral:rRNA from 1 species
AGAGUUUGAUCAUGGCUCAGAGUGAACGCUGGCGGCAGGCCUAAUACAUGCAAGUCGAACGGCAGCACAGCAGAGCUUGCUCUGGUGGGUGGCGAGUGGCGGACGGGUGAGGAAUACAUGGGAAUCUGCCCAGUCGUGGGGGAUAACGUAGGGAAACUUACGCUAAUACCGCAUGCGCCCUUCGGGGGAAAGCCGGGGACCUUCGGGCCUGGCGCGAUUGGAUGAGCCCAUGUCGGAUUAGCUAGUUGGCGGGGUAAUGGCCCACCAAGGCGACGAUCCGUAGCUGGUCUGAGAGGGUGAUCAGCCACACUGGAACUGAGACACGGUCCAGACUCCUACGGGAGGCAGCAGUAGGGAAUAUUGGACAAUGGGCGCAAGCCUGAUCCAGCCAUGCCGCGUGAGUGAAGAAGGCCCUCGGGUUGUAAAGCUCUUUUGUCCGGAAAGAAAAGCGCCGGGUUAAUACCCUAGUGUCCUGACGGUACCGGAAGAAUAAGCACCGGCUAACUUCGUG